GCGGUAGCAUGCGGAAUUCCGGUCACUUUGCCAAGGUGAGGGUCGCGGGUUCGAAUCCCGUCGUCCGCUCCA
rnacentral:tRNA from 1 species